AUAUCAAUAAGCGGAGGAAAAGAAACCAACAGGGAUUGCCCUAGUAACGGCGAGUGAAGCGGCAACAGCUCAAAUUUGAAAUCUGGCUCUCGGGCCCGAGUUGUAAUUUGUAGAGGAUGUUUCUGGCAAGGUGCCUUCCGAGUUCCCUGGAACGGGACGCCAUAGAGGGUGAGAGCCCCGUACGGUUGGUUGCCGCGCCUCUGUGAAACUCCUUCGACGAGUCGAGUAGUUUGGGAAUGCUGCUCUAAAUGGGAGGUAUACGUCUUCUAAAGCUAAAUACCGGCCAGAGACCGAUAGCGCACAAGUAGAGUGAUCGAAAGAUGAAAAGCACUUUGAAAAGAGGGUUAAAUAGUACGUGAAAUUGUUGAAAGGGAAGCACUUAUGACCAGACUUGGGCCGGUUGAUCAUCCGUCGUUCUCGGCGGUGCACUCUGCCGGCUCAGGCCAGCAUCAGUUUGGUCUGGGGGAUAAAGGUUUCGGGAAUGUGGCUCCUCCGGGAGUGUUAUAGCCCGUUGCGUAAUACCCUGGAUCAGACUGAGGUUCGCGCUCUGCAAGGAUGCUGGCGUAAUGGUCAUCAGUGA
rnacentral:rRNA from 1 species